GAGUCGGGGUGUGCGCGUGGACCCACCCACUCAGGCUUCGCAAUAAACUAUGCGAUGCAAUUCCAGUGAAUGGCACCAUAUAGACCAGGACGCGAAUCAGCACACAAGGAUCCUCGGGAAUGGAUUGAGAAGGAAAUUCAGGCAACUGCCACAUCCAUCAAAGUCGAAGGAACGCGCGUGGGUCCAAAAAGUUGUUCGGAGUAAAGCUUUGCCCAUCAAUAUCAUCGAUUAGUUAUCGCACAGCAUUUUUAUUUGAGAAGAACUUGAAUAGAUCGUCGUGUUAAGUGCGUGUUCUUGCUACAAAUAGUAGCAUUUAGCAUUUUUCUUGACCACGUUUACAAAAAGAGGGAAUAGAGACUUCUGUAAUUAAAGGGAAAAGGAAAAUGAAAGGAACUGAAAAUACUGAACUGUGAGUCUGGGUGGCUUAAGUUUGAAAACACAUAAAAUUAUUAGGACUGCCAAAAAGCAUUUCUGAGAAACCAUGUUACAGAUUGUGGAGAAAAUCAAUGCUGGAAGUAGGCACUGAACACCUCCUUUCAAGAAUCCCAGAAAUAGUUGCUGAGGUUUUUCUUUCUUUUUUUUUAUUUUUCCUUUUCUUUUUUCCCCCUGCUGAGGAUAGAAAAUGACGAUUAACAAUAAAAUCAUCAACUAUCUCUUAA